rnacentral:lncRNA from 1 species
AAAUGCAAGAUUUAGAGAUUGCACAUUCAUUAAUCGCCACUUUGGAGAAGCAAAAGUUAAUACCCGAUGUUUUCUAGAAGAAGCAACACAUAAGAGAAGUGUCUCGUUUUUAAAGAUGUGGAGGUUGAUGGGGGUGAGCUGUGUGUCCACGGGGAGCCUCUGUCAGUGGGCUCGCGGCUGAGGAGGGACGUAUGAUCGGGGCUCGGGUCAGAUCUGGACGACAUCUGGAAGCACUUGGGGUCAGCGAGUCCCGGCUGUGAAAGAAAAGAGGGAAGCUGAAAACGGGCGGAGGGGAAAAGAGCCGCAGGAAUUUCUGCUAAACUUCUGACGAAGCCCCACAGGAGUCCUGACGAGAAGUUAUUUUACAGUUUAAAGGUAGAUGUUCACACUGAGAGGAAGAAAGAGCAGUUUCGCUUUGAAAAAGCUAAUGCUACGUCUGCACACUUGUGUCUUAAACUCUCACUGCUCUUGGGUUUCUGAAUGAUUUCACCUGGCUUUUCUUCUGUUGCGUAAUGGCACAGAUUCAGAGGGCCAGUAUUGUGGGAGGACGUGUUUCAUCUAGUUUUAAUCCAAAAUGCCUCCUCCGAGGCUAUACAUACAUACAUAAUGUAUUAGGGUUUGAUAUCUAAUAUGUGCAACUACUUGCCAGCAACAGAACCAUCUGCAAAAUAAGAGACAUAUACUGCUAUAGAGAAAAAUUAAGAGGCCAUAUGAAAAAUUUUAUUUUUUCCAGAAUAAUUUGUGGUAUUUGUGUUGGCGUAAAAACUAAUUUUAUGUUUUGUUCUGUAAACUACUGACACUUUUUCCCUAAUAACCUUUAAAUGUGAGAAACUGAAGUAUGAGGUGAUCCAUUUAGGCUAAAGUGACAUGCUGCAGGCAUUCUCAUCAUAAAAAUCUUCUUGAUGUACUUUUUGUCACUCUUUUGGAAGACACUGUAUUAUAGAUAUCCUUAAGACUAACAUGCUGAUAAUAAAAUCUAAAAAAAAAUCUUUUAAUUUUACAAGGCCUUCAAGAACCCAAAUUUUGAGUCACAACAAAUAAAAACAGUUGUUGUUCUG